GCGAGCGUGGCGGAAUUGGUAGACGCACUGGAUUUAGGUUCCAGCGCCUUACGGUGUGGGAGUUCGAGUCUCCCCGCUCGCACCA
rnacentral:tRNA from 2 species